rnacentral:lncRNA from 1 species
CAGGUUCAGAAGGUAUGUUGGUUGUUUGUUCUGGGGGAGGUGAAGUUGCUUCAGAUUGUGUUGGUUGUUGUGAAGCAAGGUUUUGAGCCUGAAUUUGGGCUAAGGUUGGAGAGUUAGGAUCAGAGUAUUCUUGGUCAGAGGAGAGGUCAAGGUAUGGGGGUGAUUCUGGGGCUGAAGAUGAUGAAGAGGAAGUGGUUUGGCUCAUUUCUUCAGAACGUGGUAAAGAUGUUUGGGCAAGAUUAAUUUGAGGUGGAGGUAGUGAGGUU